rnacentral:rRNA from 1 species
CAUUACUGGGUCAACGAGCGCUUCGGCGCUCACCCCCACCCUUCGCUUCCCGCCCUAUAAUCGGCGUCAGGCGGACCUUUGCCUUUGGGCGGGCCCUCCGGCCGAACGUCAACUCUUGCAACCCUUUGCAGCCUGAAGUAAAAAACAAAUAGUUAAAACUUUCAACAACGGAUCUCUUGGUUCUGGCAACGAUGAAGAACGCAGCGAAAUGCGAUAAGUAAUGUGAAUUGCAGAAUUCAGUGAAUCAUCGAAUCUUUGAACGCACAUUGCGCCCCCUGGCAUUCCGGGGGGCACACCUGUUCGAGCGCCAUUUCAACCCUCAAGCCCUGCUUGGUGAUGGGCACCGCCUACGGGCGGGCCCGAAACUCGUGGGCGCCGUCGUUCGGUUCCAAGCGUAGCAAAACCCUCGCUUGGGCUCCCGGACGGAGGCCGCCUGGAACGAAUUUUUACAAGGUUGGCCUCGGAUCAGGUGGGGAUACCC